UUGGAAGUAAAAANUCGUAACAAGGUCUCCGUUGGUGAACCAGCGGAGGGAUCAUUACAGAGUUAUCCAACUCCCAAACCCAUGUGAACUUAUCUCUUUGUUGCCUCGGCGCAAGCUACCCGGGACCUCGCGCCCCGGGCGGCCCGCCGGCGGACAAACCAAAACUCUUGUUAUCUUCGUUGAUUAUCUGAGUGUCUUAUUUAAUAAGUCAAAACUUUCAACAACGGAUCUCUUGGUUCUGGCAUCGAUGAAGAACGCAGCGAAAUGCGAUAAGUAAUGUGAAUUGCAGAAUUCAGUGAAUCAUCGAAUCUUUGAACGCACAUUGCGCCCAUUAGUAUUCUAGUGGGCAUGCCUGUUCGAGCGUCAUUUCAACCCCUAAGCACAGCUUAUUGUUGGGAACCUACGGCUUCGUAGUUCCUCAAAGACAUUGGCGGAGUGGCAGUGGUCCUCUGAGCGUAGUAAUCUUUUAUCUCGCUUCUGUUAGGUGCUGCCCCCCCGGCCGUAAAACCCCCAAUUUUUUCUGGUUGACCUCGGAUCAGGUAGGAAUACCCGCUGAACUUAAGCAUAUCAAUAAG
rnacentral:rRNA from 1 species